rnacentral:rRNA from 1 species
AUUGAACGCUGGCGGCAGGCUUAACACAUGCAAGUCGAACGAUGAAGACAUAGCUUGCUAUGUUGGAUUAGUGGCGGACGGGUGAGUAACACUUAGGAAUCUACCUUUUAGCGGGGGAUAGCUCGGGGAAACUCGAAUUAAUACCGCAUAAUUUCUACGGAAUAAAGAGGGCUUUUAGCUCUCACUAGAAGAUGAGCCCAAGUAAGAUUAGCUAGUUGGUGGGGUAAAAGCCUACCAAGGCGACGAUCUUUAGCUGGUCUGAGAGGAUGAUCAGCCACACUGGGACUGAGACACGGCCCAGACUCCUACGGGAGGCAGCAGUGGGGAAUAUUGGACAAUGGGGGCAACCCUGAUCCAGCCAUGCCGCGUGUGUGAAGAAGGCCUUUUGGUUGUAAAGCACUUUAAGCAGUGAAGAAGAUCUAUUGGCUAAUACCCAAUAGCGAUGACAUUAACUGCAGAAUAAGCACCGGCUAACUCUGUGCCAGCAGCCGCGGUAAUACAGAGGGUGCAAGCGUUAAUCGGAAUUACUGGGCGUAAAGCGAGCGUAGGUGGUUAAAUAAGUCAGAUGUGAAAGCCCUGGGCUCAACCUAGGAACGGCAUCUGAAACUAUUUAACUAGAGUAGGUGAGAGGGAAGUAGAAUUUCAGGUGUAGCGGUGAAAUGCGUAGAGAUCUGAAGGAAUACCGAUGGCGAAGCAGCUUCCUGGCAUCAUACUGACACUGAGGCUCGAAAGCGUGGGUAGCAAACAGG